rnacentral:rRNA from 1 species
CGCGUAGGUGGUUUGUUAAGUUGGAUGUGAAAGCCCCGGGCUCAACCUGGGAACUGCAUCCAAAACUGGCAAGCUAGAGUACGGUAGAGGGUGGUGGAAUUUCCUGUGUAGCGGUGAAAUGCGUAGAUAUAGGAAGGAACACCAGUGGCGAAGGCGACCACCUGGACUGAUACUGACACUGAGGCACGAAAGCGUGGGGAGCAAACA